GAUGAACGCUGGCGGCGUGCCUAAUACAUGCAAGUCGAGCGAACGGACGAGAAGCUUGCUUCUCUGAUGUUAGCGGCGGACGGGUGAGUAACACGCGGAUAACCUACCUAUAAGACUGGGAUAACUUCGGGAAACCAGAGCUAAUACCGGAUAAUAUUUUGAACCGCAUGGUUCAAAAGUGAAAGACGGUCUUGCUGUCACUUAUAGAUGGAUCCGCGCUGCAUUAGCUAGUUGGUAAGGUAACGGCUUACCAAGGCAACGAUGCAUAGCCGACCUGAGAGGGUGAUCGGCCACACUGGAACUGAGACACGGUCCAGACUCCUACGGGAGGCAGCAGUAGGGAAUCUUCCGCAAUGGGCGAAAGCCUGACGGAGCAACGCCGCGUGAGUGAUGAAGGUCUUCGGAUCGUAAAACUCUGUUAUUAGGGAAGAACAUAUGUGUAAGUAACUGUGCACAUCUUGACGGUACCUAAUCAGAAAGCCACGGCUAACUACGUGCCAGCAGCCGCGGUAAUACGUAGGUGGCAAGCGUUAUCCGGAAUUAUUGGGCGUAAAGCGCGCGUAGGCGGUUUUUUAAGUCUGAUGUGAAAGCCCACGGCUCAACCGUGGAGGGUCAUUGGAAACUGGAAAACUUGAGUGCAGAAGAGGAAAGUGGAAUUCCAUGUGUAGCGGUGAAAUGCGCAGAGAUAUGGAGGAACACCAGUGGCGAAGGCGACUUUCUGGUCUGUAACUGACGCUGAUGUGCGAAAGCGUGGGGAUCAAACAGGAUUAGAUACCCUGGUAGUCCACGCCGUAAACGAUGAGUGCUAAGUGUUAGGGGGUUUCCGCCCCUUAGUGCUGCAGCUAACGCAUUAAGCACUCCGCCUGGGGAGUACGACCGCAAGGUUGAAACUCAAAGGAAUUGACGGGGACCCGCACAAGCGGUGGAGCAUGUGGUUUAAUUCGAAGCAACGCGAAGAACCUUACCAAAUCUUGACAUCCUUUGACAACUCUAGAGAUAGAGCCUUCCCCUUCGGGGGACAAAGUGACAGGUGGUGCAUGGUUGUCGUCAGCUCGUGUCGUGAGAUGUUGGGUUAAGUCCCGCAACGAGCGCAACCCUUAAGCUUAGUUGCCAUCAUUAAGUUGGGCACUCUAAGUUGACUGCCGGUGACAAACCGGAGGAAGGUGGGGAUGACGUCAAAUCAUCAUGCCCCUUAUGAUUUGGGCUACACACGUGCUACAAUGGACAAUACAAAGGGCAGCGAAACCGCGAGGUCAAGCAAAUCCCAUAAAGUUGUUCUCAGUUCGGAUUGUAGUCUGCAACUCGACUACAUGAAGCUGGAAUCGCUAGUAAUCGUAGAUCAGCAUGCUACGGUGAAUACGUUCCCGGGUCU
rnacentral:rRNA from 1 species